rnacentral:rRNA from 1 species
GACGAACGCUGGCGGCGUGCUUAACACAUGCAAGUCGAACGAUGAAGAAAAGAAUCGAAGCUUCGGCAGAAAUUCAUUUCGGAUUAGUGGCAGACGGGUGAGUAACGCGUGAGCAACCUACCUCUUACAAAGGGAUAGCCUCGGGAAACCGGGAUUAAUACCAUAUAACAUUGCGACGAAGCAUUUCGAUGCAAUCAAAGCUACGGCGGUAAGAGAUGGGCUCGCGUCCCAUUAACCGGAUGGUGAGGUAACGGCUCACCAUAGUGACGAUGGGUAACCGGCCUGAGAGGGUGAACGGUCACACUGGAACUGAGACACGGUCCAGACUCCUACGGGAAGCAGCAGUGGGGAAUAUUGCACAAUGGAGGGAACUCUGAUGCAGCGACGCCGCGUGAGUGAUGAAGGAAUUCGUUUCGUAAAACUCUGUUCUAUGGGAAGAAAAGGACUGUACCAUAGGAGAAAGCGCCGGCUAAAUACGUG